rnacentral:rRNA from 1 species
GAUGAACGCUGGCGGCGUGCCUAAAACAUGCAAGUCGUGCGGCAGCGGGCCUUCGGGUGCCGGCGAGCGGCGGACGGGUGAGUAACGCGUAGGAACGUACCCCAAAGUGAGGGAUAAACUCCGGAAACGGAGUCUAAUACCGCAUAUGCUCUUAGGAGUAAAGGAGUAAUCCGCUUUGGGAGCGGCCUGCGUCCGAUUAGUUUGUUGGUGAGGUAAUGGCUUACCAAGACGAUGAUCGGUAGCUGGUUUGAGAGGAUGAUCAGCCACACUGGGACUGAGACACGGCCCAGACUCCUACGGGAGGCAGCAGUUAGGAAUUUUCCACAAUGGGGGCAACCCUGAUGGAGCAACGCCGCGUGCAGGAAGACGGCCUUCGGGUUGUAAACUGCUUUUAAAAGUGAAGACUAUGACGGUAACUUUAGAAUAAGGAUCGGCUAACUCCGUGCCAGCCGCCGCUGUAA